CACGGGGGGAGCAAGCGUUGUUCGGAUUUACUGGGCGUAAAGAGCGCGCAGGCGGCUGGUCAAGUCCGAUGUGAAAGCUCCCGGCUUAACUGGGAAAUUGCAUCGGAAACUGAUCGGCUGGAAGGUGGGAGAGGGUAGCGGAAUUCCCGGUGUAGUGGUGAAAUGCGUAGAUAUCGGGAGGAACACCAGUGGCGAAAGCGGCUACCUGGCCCAUUCUUGACGCUGAGGCGCGAAAGCUAGGGGAGCAAACGGG
rnacentral:rRNA from 1 species